CUAAUUUUAAAGCCAAAUUAAACUUUUGACCCCAAUUUCACGGUCCACUGAACAUAGAAAAUGAAAGUGCAUGUUUCAGGUUAAAGUUUUUGGUCAAGGUAGUUUUUGAUGAAGUUGAAGUCCAAUCAACUUGAAACUUGUACACAUGUUCCCUAUGAUAUUAUCUUUCUAAUUUUAAUGCCUAAUUAUAUUUUUUAUCCAAUUUCAUGCUCCAUUGAACAUGGAAAAUGAUAGUGUGAGUGGGGCAUCCGUGUACUUUGGACACAUUCUUGUUGCUUAUUAUUCUCUAUUGUAUUCAUUUUUUGUGUCCUUUAUUUUGCCCUUUUUGUCCAUUAUUCUCUGCUGCAAACCCCAUCCAGAUCCCAAUUUAGGUCAUAUUAUUAUUUAUUUCAUGGCAAUAAAGUCGUA
rnacentral:lncRNA from 1 species